rnacentral:rRNA from 1 species
UACGUAGGUGGCAAGCGUUAUCCGGAAUUAUUGGGCGUAAAGAGCUCGUAGGCGGUUUGUCGCGUCUGCCGUGAAAGUCCGGGGCUCAACUCCGGAUCUGCGGUGGGUACGGGCAGACUAGAGUGAUGUAGGGGAGACUGGAAUUCCUGGUGUAGCGGUGAAAUGCGCAGAUAUCAGGAGGAACACCGAUGGGCGAAGGCAGGUCUCUGGGCAUUAACUGACGCUGAGGAGCAAAAGCAUGGGGAGCGAACAGG